AGGUAAUGCCUACUGAACCUUUAUCACUGGAGGCACUCGGUCACGCUGUGGGUCCUAUGGACCUUAGACAUUCAUUGUCGAGGGUGUGAUGUGAGGACGGGUUGAAUGCCCU
rfam:Paenibacillus rhizosphaerae strain FSL R5-0378 NODE_3_length_577972_cov_1.55763_ID_3966, whole genome shotgun sequence.